GGAAUGUUGAUCUAUAAAAGUAGGCUAACCUAGGGAUUACCAACUCAAUAGAUUUGUUCCCCUUUUUAAUGCAACUUCAGACUAAAGAAUAGUGACCAUUUCAAGAUGACUAGCUGUAUGUCUGUCGUAGUGCUGGUACUGGUGCCCCUUCUGUUUCGAGGGAGUCACUCGCAAAUAGUAGAUGUUCCUGAAAUCAUUCUUCAGGCCACGUAUGAGGAACCUUUAACAGCACCUCCAGGAUGUGAGGUAAAAGACACUUAGAGAGAACAUUCACAGUCAUAAGAAACAGAGCCACGGUACCACCAGUUGUACCUUAACCGCGAGAGUCAUCAUCACAUUUUACUUCACCACAUCUUCUACUAUCAUAACAUGACAUAAAUACUAGCAUCAGUACUGCCAUCAUCGCUUGCACUGCCACAAAACAUUUAUCUAUCUCCAUCCCCACUAUCACUCCACUAUUCAUCUUCACCAUCUCUACUACCACUGCUAUCACCAUCGCCAUCAAUACCAGCAUGACCAUUCCUAACACAUCCAACAUAACUACCAAAUUUACAUAUACCAUAACUCUCACUACCACUCGCUAGAUACCAUUCAUUACCACUGCUAAAAACCACAACAAAAACCACCAGCACAGCAUCUUUGACAAUCGCCAUUGCAACAUUGCCAUCAUUACUACCAUUACAAUCACAACUAGCAUCGCCACCACAGCCUUCAUUAUCAUUGCAUUACCAUCACUAUUACCAUCACAAUCAUAACCUCAAAAACCUACCAUCAUUUUAAAAUCACUACUACCAUUAUAAUUACAAUCACCAUUACCAUCACAACCAUCAUUACGAUUACCACUACUAAUCACAAUAACAAGCAUAUGCCUACACUUCUCCUUAAGAAACAUGAUGCGAACGUUCGGUAAGAAUGAUUAUCGGAACUCAUUUUGGAAACAUUUUUGUAAAGACGACAUUGGUCGAUCAGGAAGGGUAGUUUUUCAAUCCUAAGGAUUGCUUAGGCCUAUAUGCUCUGUUAGUUGUAAAUUUCAUUGUACAUGGCGAUUAGAACAGAGUGUAUAGCCCUUACAGUCUAGAGAAAAUAGUGCUCACGUCUAGUACUUUUACCAUUCAGCUUUUGCGUUGACAAAUGGCCUAUUAUUGGCUUGGAAGAAAGUCUUUGCAAUGUAACUUCUCAAAUGGUUCUGUUCAAAUGUUUAAUAUCGGAGUAAGUGCAUGCCUUCUAGGAAUAUUGAAGCAGAACUUUUUUCUAUGCUGCGUAUUCAUUGUGGCCUUAGUGUUAAACCAAGGUGUGCAAAGUCUCGAGAUUAUACGGUAAAUUAGUAUCAAACCAAGGUGUGCAAAGUCUCGAGAUUAUAAGAUAAAUUAGUAUCAAACCAAGGUGUGCAAUGUCUCUAGAUUAUAGGGUCAAUUAGUAUCAAACCAAGGUGUGCAAAGUCUCUAGAUUAUAGGGUAAAUUAGUAUCAAACCAAAGUGUGCAAAGUCUCUAGAUUAUAGAGUAAAUUAGUAUCAAACCAAGGUGUGCAAAGUCUCUAGAUGAUAGGGUAACUUAGUGUCGAACUAAGGUGUGCAAAGUCUCUAGAUGAUAGGGUAACUUAGUAUCAAACCAAGUGAUGCAAAGUGUCUAGAAUAUAGGGUAACUUAGUAUCAAACCAAGUGAUGCAAAGUCGCUAGAUGAUAGGGUAACUUAGUAUCAAACCAAGUGAUGCAAAGUCUCUAGAUGAUAGGGUAACUUAGUAUCAAACUAAGUGAUGCAAAGUCUCUAGAUGAUAGGAUAACUUAGUAUCAAACCAA
rnacentral:sRNA from 1 species